CAGUCAUCUGACUAGUCGAUCGACUAUACAGUGUACCAGCACGGUCGCAUGCAAGUGAUGUUGGCAGAGUCCAUUCCUUCAGGAAGGACAUCAGUUAGCUUCUGGCAAAAGGAAUUCAUCUCGUUGGCAGAUUUUCGGGCAUGGAUGGAUGGUGGUGCAGCUCUGGGCUUCAGCAAAAGGAUGUUGCCGCUUGCAGUCUUCGAAGAAACUCCAUGAUUGACUGCAUCAGCGUAUGUUCGAUUCGCAUGUGAAUUUUCAGGGUACGCCGGUACUGGAAUAUAACGUCGUGCAGCCUGGGGUUCGAGGGCGACUUCAUGAAUGCGUAUAUGAUGAUCCUUCAGCAGGGAUGGGAUUUUCUGCAGAGCGUCUUUAUGGCUUUCAAGGACUUUCCCGACUUUCGAAUUUGUACUGGAUACAGCGAACACCUCAUCAAAGAUACCAGAUAACACAUCAGUCAGCUCGACAAAUGUAAAUUUCGACAGAUCUUCUUCACUAUCCCCUCCGCCCAUGUUAAAAUCGUUGGAACAAGCUCAUCGGCAAAGCAACAUCCUAAAGGUCACCGUCGCUUUAACGCCGUUUAGGCAACCCGGAUACACUAUUAGAGUGAGCUAAAAAAAGUUAGAUCCGCUGCUUUGAAAGUUUCCAGAAGUUUCUGAUUGUCGAUGUUUACCCGAAUGUGGCUAUAUAAGCGCCAAGCUUGCCAA